CCUACGGGAGGCAGCAGUGGGGAAUAUUGCUCAAUGGGGGAAACCCUGAAGCAGCGACGCCGCGUGAGGGAAGAAGGAAUUCGUGUUGUAAACCCCUAUUAGCAGGGGAGAAAAUGACGGUACCUGACUAAGAAGCCCCGGCUAACUACGUGCCAGCAGCCGCGGUAAUACGUAGGGGGCAAGCGUUACUCGGAAUCACUGGGCGUAAAGGGAGCGUAGGAGGGAUUGCAAGUCAGGUGUGAAAGGCUUGGGCUGAACCCUCGGACUGCGGUUGAAACUGUAAGGCUGGAGUGGAGGAGAGGUAGGUGGAAUUCGUGGUGUAGCGGUGAAAUGCGUAGAUAUCAGGAGGAACACCGAUUGCGAAGGCGACCUGCUGGCACAUAACUGACGCUGAGGCUCGAAAGUGUGGGGAGCAAACAGGAUUAGAUACCCGGGUAGUC
rnacentral:rRNA from 1 species